rnacentral:rRNA from 1 species
UACGUAGGUGGCAAGCGUUGUCCGGAUUUAUUGGGUUUAAAGGGUGCGUAGGCGGCCCUGUAAGUCAGUGCUGAAAUAUCCCGGCUUAACCGGGAGGGUGGCAUUGAUACUGCGGGGCUAGAGUACAGAUGAGGUAGGCGGAAUUGACGGUGUAGCGGUGAAAUGCUUAGAUAUCGUCAAGAACACCUAUAGCGAAGGCAGCUAACUAGGCUGUAACUGACGCUGAGGCACGAAAGCGUGGGGAGCGAACAGG